UACGUAGGGACCAAGCGUUGUUCGGAAUUACUGGGCGUAAAGGGCGCGUAGGCGGCUUUUCAAGUCGGGCGUGAAAUCUCCGGGCUUAACCCGGAAGGGUCGUUCGAUACUGUUGAGCUAGAGUGUGGAAGAGGCAACUAGAAUUCCGUGUGUAGCGGUGAAAUGCGUAGAUAUACGGAGGAAUACCUGAGGCGAAGGCGGGUUGCUGGGCCAACACUGACGCUGAAGUGCGAAAGCCAGGGGAGCAAACGGG
rnacentral:rRNA from 1 species